AUUGAACGCUGGCGGCAGGCCUAACACAUGCAAGUCGAACGGUAACAGGAAGAAGCUUGCUUCUUUGCUGACGAGUGGCGGACGGGUGAGUAAUGUCUGGGAAACUGCCUGAUGGAGGGGGAUAACUACUGGAAACGGUAGCUAAUACCGCAUAACGUCGCAAGCCCAAAGAGGGGGACCUUCGGGCCUCUUGCCAUCGGAUGUGCCCAGAUGGGAUUAGCUUGUUGGUGGGGUAACGGCUCACCAAGGCGACGAUCCCUAGCUGGUCUGAGAGGAUGACCGGCCACACUGGAACUGAGACACGGUCCAGACUCCUACGGGAGGCAGCAGUGGGGAAUAUUGCACAAUGGGCGCAAGCCUGAUGCAGCCAUGCCGCGUGUAUGAAGAAGGCCUUCGGGUUGUAAAGUACUUUCAGCGGGGAGGAAGGGAGUAAAGUUAAUACCUUUGCUCAUUGACGUUACCCGCAGAAGAAGCACCGGCUAACUCCGUG
rnacentral:rRNA from 1 species